rnacentral:rRNA from 1 species
UACGUAGGGAGCAAGCGUUGUUCGGAUUCACUGGGCGUAAAGGGUGCGUAGGCGGUCGGGUAAGUCUGAUGUGAAAUCUCACAGCUUAACUGUGAAACUGCAUUGGAUACUAUCCGGCUCGAGGAAUGGAGGGGAGACUGGAAUACUUGGUGUAGCAGUGAAAUGCGUAGAUAUCAAGUGGAACACCAGUGGCGAAGGCGAGUCUCUGGACAUUUCCUGACGCUGAGGCACGAAAGCCAGGGGAGCAAACGGG